AGUGAACGCUGGCGGUAGGCCUAACACAUGCAAGUCGAACGGCAGCACAGUAAGAGCUUGCUCUUACGGGUGGCGAGUGGCGGACGGGUGAGGAAUACAUCGGAAUCUACUUUUUCGUGGGGGAUAACGUAGGGAAGCUUACGCUAAUACCGCAUACGACCUACGGGUGAAAGCAGGGGAUCUUCGGACCUUGCGCGAUUGAAUGAGCCGAUGUCGGAUUAGCUAGUUGACGGGGUAAAGGCCCACCAAGGCGACGAUCCGUAGCUGGUCUGAGAGGAUGAUCAGCCACACUGGAACUGAGACACGGUCCAGACUCCUACGGGAGGCAGCAGUGGGGAAUAUUGGACAAUGGGCGCAAGCCUGAUCCAGCCAUACCGCGUGGGUGAAGAAGGCCUUCGGGUUGUAAAGCCCUUUUGUUGGGAAAGAAAAGCAGCAGGUUAAUACCCCGCUGUUCUGACGGUACCCAAAGAAUAAGCACCGGCUAACUUCGUG
rnacentral:rRNA from 1 species